AGCGCCGGCACCGGCACCGCCGCGUGCUGCUCCCGCUCCAGCCUCGACCCUUAUCGUGUCCCGCGCCGGCCCUGCCCCUGCGGUCACCGGCCGCCGCGCCACACCCACACGCUUCGGUCCAUCUCGGUUUAGUUGGAUUAUUGGCAUCCAAGCUUGGCGUCCAGUCAGAAUCUCCUGGACUUGAUGUCCGAUUUCAGGGAUGCUGGAAGAGACGCUGCAGGGUGUGGGUUUACCCGUUCAUGGUUCUAGGCCUUUCCAAACGGAGGCUUUGCACGACUUUCUGUGCAUGUUGUUGGGUUUGCCCAUGGACAACUUCAGCCAUGCACAAGCACAGCCAUCUCCUCUGGUACCGUCUCAGCAGCCACUUACCAUCAUUGUCACCGAUUCGUCUGUGCGUGGCGAAUUUUGGCACUCACUUACCACCCGAGAGAUCAAGAAAGCAAGGGGGUUGCGGCAUCCAUGAUGCACUGAGAGUCUUGCACCUCGUGCCAGGGAAGGUAUAUAAUGACAAGGAGGAAGGUCCAUCUCAUCACCGCCUUAUCAACGACUGUAUGCAUGACAUCUUGGGAGUUCAGUCAGAAAGUCAUGUUAUGCGUAAUGGAAAAGUGCAGUUUGUUAGCUCAAGCAAUAAUACAGAGCAAAUUUUACCCUAUACCGUUGAUUCUCAUGAUAUCUCUGCUUCUCCUUCCAUGAAUAAACUCGCAAAGGGAAACAAGUUUAUGUUACUUGUGGAGCUGCAUAGGAGAGGAAUAAGUGCGGAUAUGUCCAUUUUUGCAUCUGCCAUGAGCUUCUGUGCUGUUAAGCAAUUCAUUAGGGGAGGUGCCCAGCUCCAUGCUGUACUGGUGAAAGUUGGUUAUGAAUUGUCAGUCCUUUCUGGCACCUCUCUAAUCAGCUUAUAUGCAAGAUGUUGUCAACUGGAGAAUGCUUGUCAGGUUUUUCAGAACAUGCCAGUUAAAAAUACCGUGUCGUGGACAGCACUCAUUUCUGGCUAUGCACAGGAUAAUAAGGUUGAGCCAUGCCUCCAGGUAUUUCAGCUGAUGAGGCAGUCAGCGUGCAGGCCUAAUGACAUCACUUUUGCCACUAUCUUCAGCGUGUGCACUAACCAUGCGCUUCUUGCACUUGGUAAAAGUGUUCACGGUCUAGAACUGAGAAUGGGUUUUGAUUUGUGUGUGCAUGUCUCGAAUGCAUUGAUAUCAAUGUAUGCAAAGUGUGGGAGUAUAGAUGAGGCCCAGUCCAUAUUUGAGAGCAUUCCGUGCAAGGACCUGAUCUCUUGGAACUCCAUGAUAUUUGGAUAUUCACAGCAUGGCCUUGCUGAGCAUUGCCUAAGCUUGCUAAAAGAAAUGGAGGAGGAACACAUAGUGCCUGAUGCAAUCUCCUUCCUUGGCAUCCUGUCAUCAUGUCGGCAUGCAUGCCUUGUAGAGGAAGGCCGGCGCUGCUUCAAGUCGAUGAUCAGACUUGGAAUGGAACCAGAGUUAGAUCACUACUCGUGUAUGGUAGACCUCCUUGGCCGGGCAGGAUUGCUCGAUGAAGCAUGGGAUUUGAUCCAUACAAUGUCCACGUCUCCAAAUGCAGUCAUAUGGGGUUCUCUGCUGGCUGCCUGUAGGAUGCAUGGAAACAUUCCGAUUGGCAUCCAUGCGGCAGAGCAUCGUCUUAAGCUGGAGCCAGGUUGUGCUGCAACUCAUGUACAGCUAGCAAAUCUAUAUGCUAGCAUUGAUUGCUGGAGUGAUGUGGCCAGAGUGAGGAUGAUGAUGAAGGAGAGAGGACUGAAGACGAAUACUGGGUGCAGCUGGAUAGAAAUUGGCAAUAAGGUUUAUACCUUCACAGCAGAAAACAGAUCAAAGAGCCACCAAGUAAACAAUGUCUUGGCUGUUCUUGACUGCUUGCGCUCUCAUAUGGCAUACAAGUAUGAUCUGCUGAUAGAUGGUCUUGAGUUUGAUGAGUCCGAAUAUUUCAUGGAGGAACCAAGCAUUGCGUAAAGAUACCAUGUUCCACAAGGCAUUCGCGCUUCCACGGUCCUGACCGGACAAGGCACCCGACAAGAUCUUCAACAUUACAUCGUGCAGAAAAAUUAACAACUCCCCAGGUCUCCACUUUAAUGGGCUUAAUGAAUUUCUGGAUAACACAACUGGGUAUGUUACGGCAUCGACAACAAUACGUAAUGAUAAAAAGUUUAUGAUGCACAUGUGUAGAGUUCAAUCAAGAGAUGCAAGCAGCAGAGAUCCUGCAUAGUAGGCGUUCAAAGACAUACAUCCAGUGAAAAGAGCAGUAUGGCUCUACCAAGUACCUGUGGUGCCU